rnacentral:rRNA from 1 species
UACCCCGGCUGGAACUUAAGCAUAUCACUAAGCGGAGGAAAAAGAAACCAACAGGGAUUGCCCUAGUAACGGCGAGUGAAGCGGCAACAGCUCAAAUUUGAAAUCUGGCGCAAGCCCGAGUUGUAAUUUGUAGAGGAUGCUUCUGGGUAGCGGCCGGUCUAAGUUCCUUGGAACAGGACGUCAUAGAGGGUGAGAAUCCCGUAUGUGACUGGCUUGCACCCUCCACGUAGCUCCUUCGACGAGUCGAGUUGUUUGGGAAUGCAGCUCUAAAUGGGAGGUAAAUUUCUUCUAAAGCUAAAUACCGGCCAGAGACCGAUAGCGCACAAGUAGAGUGAUCGAAAGAUGAAAAGCACUUUGGAAAGAGAGUUAAAAAGCACGUGAAAUUGUUGAAAGGGAAGCGCCCGCAACCAGACUUUGCGGCGGUGUUCCGCCGGUCUUCUGACCGGUUUAUUCGCCGCCGUGAGGCCAUCAUCGUCUGGGACCGCUGGAUAAGACCUUAGGAAUGUAGCUUCCCUCGGGAAGUGUUAUAGCCUCUGGUGAUGCAGCGCGUCUCGGGCGAGGUCCGCGCUUCGGCAAGGAUGAUGGCGUAAUGGUUGUCGGCGGCCCGUCUUGAAACACGGACCAAGGAGUCUAACAUCUAUGCGAGUGUUCGGGUGUCAAACCCCUACGCGUAAUGAAAGUGAACGGAGGUGGGAACUUUUUGUGCACCAUCGACCGAUCCUGAUGUCCUCGGAUGGAUUUGAGUAAGAGCAUAGCUGUUGGGACCCGAAAGAUGGUGAACUAUGCCUGAAUAGGGUGAAGCCAGAGGAAACUCUGGUGGAGGCUCGCAGCGGUUCUGACGUGCAAAUCGAUCCGUCAAAUUUGGGUAUAGGGGCGAAAGACUAAUCGAACCAUCUAGUAGCUGGUUCCUGCCGAAGUUUCCCCUCAGGAAC